rnacentral:rRNA from 1 species
UACGUAGGGUGCGAGCGUUAAUCGGAAUUACUGGGCGUAAAGCGUGCGCAGGCGGUUUUGUAAGCCAGAUGUGAAAUCCCCGGGCUCAACCUGGGAAUGGCAUUUGGGACUGCAAGGCUCGAGUGCGGCAGAGGAGACUGGAAUUCCUGGUGUAGCAGUGAAAUGCGUAGAUAUCAGGAGGAACACCGAUGGCGAAGGCAGGUCUCUGGGCUGACACUGACGCUCAUGCACGAAAGCGUGGGGGAGCAAACAGG